CGCUGGCGGCACGCCUAACACAUGCAAGUCGAACGAAGUAGCAAUACUUAGUGGCAGACGGGUGAGUAACAUGUAGGUAUCUGCCCUUUGGCCUGGAAUAACACGAGGAAACUUGUGCUAAUACCGGAUAAGUCUUUACGGAGAAAGCUUUAUGCACCAUUGGAUGAGCCUGCACUUGAUUAGUUUGUUGGUGGGGUAAUGGCCUACCAAGACUUUGAUCAAUAGCUGAUUUGAGAGGAUGAUCAGCCACAUUGGGACUGAGACACGGCCCAAACUCCUACGGGAGGCAGCAGUGGGGAAUCUUGCACAAUGGAGGAAACUCUGAUGCAGCGAUGCCGCGUGAGUGAAGAAGGCCCUUGGGUUGUAAAGCUCUUUCGUCGGGGAAGAAAAUGACUGUACCCGAAUAAGAAGGUCCGGCUAACUUCGUGCCAGCAGCCGCGGUAAUACGAAGGGACCUAGCGUAGUUCGGAAUUACUGGGCUUAAAGAGUUCGUAGGUGGUUGAAAAAGUUGGUGGUGAAAUCCCAGAGCUUAACUCUGGAACUGCCAUCAAAACUUUUCAGCUAGAGUAUGAUAGAGGAAAGCAGAAUUUCUAGUGUAGAGGUGAAAUUCGUAGAUAUUAGAAAGAAUACCAAUUGCGAAGGCAGCUUUCUGGAUCAUUACUGACACUGAGGAACGAAAGCAUGGGUAGCGAAGAGGAUUAGAUACCCUCGUAGUCCAUGCCGUAAACGAUGUGUGUUAGACGUUGGAAAUUUAUUUUCAGUGUCGCAGCGAAAGCGAUAAACACACCGCCUGGGGAGUACGAC
rnacentral:rRNA from 1 species